UACGGAGGGUGCAAGCGUUGUUCGGAAUCACUGGGCGUAAAGCGCGUGUAGGCGGCUAUUUAAGUCUGAUGUGAAAGCCCUGGGCUUAACCCAGGAAGUGCAUUGGAUACUGGGUAGCUCGAGUACCGGAGAGGAGGGUGGAAUUCCUGGUGUAGCGGUGAAAUGCGUAGAUAUCAGGAGGAACACCGGUGGCGAAGGCGUCCCUCUGGCCGGAUACUGACGCUGAGACGCGAAAGCGUGGGGAGCAAACAGG
rnacentral:rRNA from 1 species